AAUUUGAAAAAGACUUUACGUGGGCUUGACAUACACCAGAUUGGGGUAAAGAAAGGGUUUCCUUUGGGGGUGGUAAACAGGUGGUGCAUGGUUGUCGUCAGCUCGUGUCGUGAGAUGUUGGGUUAAGUCCCGCAACGAGCGCAACCCUUGUCUUAAGUUGCCAGCACGUGAUGGUGGGGACUCAAGAGAGACUGCCGGGGUUAACUCGGAGGGAGGUGGGGAAGACGUCAAAUCAUCAUGCCCCUUAUGUCCAGGGGUUACACCCGGGUACAAAUGUCGGUAAAAAAGAGAGCACAUCGGAAGUGAGGUUUUUUUUUAGCCGGCCUCCGUCCGAUUGGCGUUGCAACUUGACCCCCAUGAUCGAUUGGUAGUUUUGCAAUCAGAAAGCGAUGCUUUCCUC
rnacentral:rRNA from 1 species